AUACGUAGGUGGCAAGCGUUGUCCGGAUUUACUGGGUGUAAAGGGAGCGCAGGCGGGGAAGCAAGUCAGUUGUGAAAACUAUGGGCUUAACUCAUAGAUUGCAGUUGAAACUGUUUCUCUUGAGAGGAGUAGAGGUAAGCGGAAUUCCGAGUGUAACGGUGAAAUGUGUAGAGAUUCGGAGGAACACCAGUGGCGAAGGCGGCUUACUGGGCUCUAACUGACGCUGAGGCUCGAAAGUGUGGGGAGCAAACAGGAUUAGAUACCCUGGUAGUCCACACUGUAAACGAUGAUUACUAGGUGUGGGGGGUCUGACCCCUUACGUGCCGCAGUUAACGCAAUAAGUAAUCCACCUGGGGAGUACGACCGCAAGGUUGAAACUCAAAGGAAUUGACGGGG
rnacentral:rRNA from 1 species